AUGGAAACCGCUCAGGAGCAGGGAGCUGGGAGCUAUGAGUGCUGACUGCGUGAACUCGGCCUCCACUUCCCGGACCUGCCACUUAUCAUGAUCCACGAGCUGUACUCAUGACUCCGCACAAGCAAGCAGGGGCUGACGGUCGGAUCCCUCGCCCCCAUUUUACGGACAGAAGUACCGAGGCUCAAAGAGAGCCAGUGAGAUGCUGAAAUCACGCGUGAUUGGAAUCCAGCCUUGCUAGGGCUGCGGGUGUUACGGGCCGUGGGCGGCGGUUAAGAGCGCUAGUCAAGUGAAGCAAUGGGAAUGGAGAAGAAACAAAUCUAUAACUGGUUGUGAUGAAUUAGUCGUAAGCACCACUGCAAUUGGACCAGUCAAUACCAUGGUUAUCACAGGAGUGUGGCUGAGGCUGUGUUUGGCCCUGGGUGCCAGGUCUGCACCCUGCACUAAGGAUGGGUGAGGAACGACAGGCAGUCGAGCUGGUUGGUGCUACAGGCAAUGUACAGUAAGCCAUGAUGGGCAGAGGCAGGAAAUACUUAGAGAACUGGAAAGAAUAAAGGAGCCGGUGU
rnacentral:lncRNA from 1 species